UCCUGGUUUCCCAGGCAGUCUCAUCAGAGUGCUCCAUAAAUGGGUGGCAACUGACGACAGGAGUUGCGCUCGUUAAAGGACUUAACCUAACAUCUCACGACACGAGCUGACGACAGCCAUGCAGCACCUGUGCACAUGCUUAAGGUUUCCCUUAAGAAAUCAUGUUUCUAUGGUGGUCAUGUGCAUGUCAAGCCCAGGUAAGGUUUCUCGCGUAGUAUCGAAUUAAACCACAUGUUCCACCGCUUGUGCGGAUCCCCGUCAAUUUCUUUAAGUUUUAAUCUUGCGACCGUACUCCCCAGGUGGAUCACUUAUCGCGUUAGCUGCGACACUCAGGCAAAUUGCCCAAACGUCUAGUGAUCAUCGUUUACUGCAUGGACUAC
rnacentral:misc_RNA from 1 species